rnacentral:tRNA from 1 species
GGUUUGUGGCUCAGUGGUAGAGCACACGCCUAGAACGUGGGAGGCCCUGGGUUUGAUCCUCAACACCA